GUGAGGAAUAUUGGGCAAUGGACGCAAGUCUGACCCAGCCAUGCCGCGUGCAGGAUGAAGGCCCUAGUGGUUGUAAACUGCUUUUGUACGGGAAGAAACCUCCGCACGUGUGCGGGGCUGACGGUACCGUAUGAAUAAGCAUCGGCUAACUCCGUGCCAGCAGCCGCGGUAAUACGGAGGAUGCGAGCGUUAUCCGGAUUCAUUGGGUUUAAAGGGUGCGUAGGCGGAGUGAUAAGUCAGUGGUGAAAUCCUGCGGCUUAACCGUAGAACUGCCGUUGAUACUGUCAUUCUUGAGUACAGUUGAGGUGGGUGGAAUGUGUAAUGUAGCGGUGAAAUGCAUAGAGAUUACACAGAACGCCAAUUGCGAAGGCAGCUCACUAAGCUGUUACUGACGCUGAGGCACGAAAGCGUGGGGAUCAAACAGGAUUAGAAACCCCAGUAGUCC
rnacentral:rRNA from 1 species